GAAUAGUCGAAGGUGGAAGGAGUGGAGGAGAUCAUCUUAUCACCAUGGGAGCUCUUUUCCUGCCCCUUCUUCCACACCUAAAGGGUAACCCCGCCCUCCGUUGCUGUAACAGGAGGAGGAUCCGCGCCGUCGACGGAGCAGCAACUGCCGAUCUAGCUCCUCAGCCCGAGAUCACCUGGCAAAUCGCCGUCGGCGCUUUAGCUGG
rnacentral:misc_RNA from 1 species